UACGUAGGGUGCGAGCGUUAAUCGGAAUUACUGGGCGUAAAGGGUGCGUAGGUGGUUGGGCAAGUCUGAUGUGAAAUCUCCGGGCUUAACCCGGAAAUGGCAUUGGAAACUGCCUGGCUAGAGUGUUGGAGGGGGGACUGGAAUUCUCGGUGUAGCAGUGAAAUGCGUAGAUAUCGAGAGGAACACCAGUGGCGAAGGCGAGUCCCUGGACAACGACUGACACUGAGGCACGAAAGCUAGGGGAGCAAACAGG
rnacentral:rRNA from 1 species